rnacentral:rRNA from 1 species
GACGUAGGGCGCGAGCGUUGUCCGGAUUUAUUGGGCGUAAAGAGCUCGUAGGCGGCUUGUCGCGUCGUUCGUGAAAACUUGGGGCUCAACCCCAAGCUUGCGGUCGAUACGGGCAGGCUAGAGUUCGGUAGGGGAGACUGGAAUUCCUGGUGUAGCGGUGAAAUGCGCAGAUAUCGUAAGGAAGACCAGUGGCGAAGGCGGGUCUCUGGACAGUUCCUGACGCUGAGGCACGAAGGUCAGGGGGAGCAAACGGG